rnacentral:rRNA from 1 species
ACGGAGGAUCCAAGCGUUAUCCGGAUUUAUUGGGUUUAAAGGGUGCGUAGGCGGUCUUGUAAGUCAGUGGUGAAAGCCCUUCGCUUAACGAAGGAACUGCCAUUGAUACUGCAAAUCUUGAGUACAUUUGAUGAGGGCGGAAUGUGUCAUGUAGCGGUGAAAUGCUUAGAUAUGACACAGAACACCGAUUGCGAAGGCAGCUCUCAAAACUGUAACUGACGCUGAGACACGAAAGCGUGGGGAGCAAACAGG